AUGAGCGUGCACGUCACAGUGUGUAUCGUGAGCGUCCCCAUCAUGAGUGUCUGAGUGUGCAUGUUGUGUUCCAGGACUCCACGUUCCGGCGUUUCCGGAGUCUGAGGAUCAGACCGGAACACUUCACCUCCAUCCUGACGGACAGCGUCGGCUUCUGCUCCUACAGGCUGCUCACACACACAGAUAACAAACGACCCGUCUACCUGUUUCACAAAGGCCCCUCCCAGCGGAAGUGAACUCUGAGGCCACGCCCACAUGUUCAAUCAUCAGGUGUUUGAUGACAUCACAAGGAUGACGUGAAGAUGGACUCCUCAGGAUGUGACUGGACUGCAGAGAGCGGGCUCAGUACAGCUCUGCUCUGAUUGGUUCACUGGCUGAUCAGCUGAUAGGUCAUGUGACCUCUCUCUUUACCGUUGAGUCAGAAUAAAAAAUGGACGUUC